ensembl:lncRNA
CCAGAGUUUUCAAACAGGGACAAGUUUCAAACAAGUUUCAAACAGGGUUUUAGCACAGAGUUAAUUAACAAAUAUUUUACAAUAAUUAUCCAUUCCAAGUUAUGUUUGGCAGCUCCUUCUGCCUCGGGUGAUGUCCGAACUCUCCCCACCCUAACUCUCAAGGGAGCCAGAACCAGAGAGUGCAAAUCAAGUGGGGGAAUCCAGCUGCUUCUAUGGACCCGAGACGUGGGAGCCGCUAUCGCCAUCUGCUGGUUUCUUCUAGAACUGCCGGCUCCCCUAGGCAGGAUUUCAUGGCUGAGAGGGAAGCACAUAAACAAAGACAGGAAAACAAAGGAUUCCCUUGAAAAGUGCGAAUUGGUGCUAAAGUCAAGGCCAAAAUCUGUGGCCUGCGUGCUUUGGAGACCAGCCCUCCCCUUCUAUCAGAAACUGGCAGAUGAUCAUCUUUGCCUGUUAAUCCAAUCCUGGAGGAGGAAAAACAUCCCAAUGAUGGUGCCAGAGUCUCAGUCCCAUGGCAGUGCCCCAUCACCGCCAAGGACGAAAUGCAUGAGGGUACUUGAAAUGGAGCAGUGUCCACAUCUGCGGAUUCCACUUCUGUGCGGGCUCUUAGCGGGGUAUGGCCUCUGCUCAGGGGCCAUCCCUCCAGCCACCUUUGUCCAUAGGUCCUCCCCUUCAGCCUCCUCCAGCCCCAGUGUUAAGGGUUGAACUGUAUUCCCCCCAAAGUCACGUGUUGAAGCCCUAACCCCCAGGACUUCACUCAGAAUGUGGGGUCUUUGCAGAGAUAAUCAAGUUGAAAUAAGGUCUUUCCAGGGAGACCCUAAUCCAGUAUGUCUAUGACCUUAAAAAAAAAGAAAUCUGCACCCAGAGACACACAUAGCGGGAGAAUGAUGUAAAGAGACCCAGGCAGAAGGCGCCAUGUGCACGGCAGGGACAGAGUCCAGGAGCAGACUCCCCUCGGGGCUCUCAGAAGGACCCAGCACUGCCCACCCCAGACUUGGACUUCCUGUCUCUGGAAGUGAUGUGAUAAUGGCCCUGUGUAAGCCCCAGUCAGCGCUGUGUUACGCAACCCCGGCCCUUCCUCACUGGGUCCCUUGAGAAUGUGCCUUCCAAUGACCCACGUGCUCCCCUCUUGACUUCCCUGCUUACAACCAGCAGAGUGACUCCUGCAUCCCAACCCCUGCAACCCUCUCAGCGGCUUUCCAAUCUGAGACAAGCCUCCCCCAGGUGACCAACACAGUCCCCGAGAGGCGAGCCCUGGUUCCUGACACAGGCACAUGCAUUGUGGGCAGACCUGAGAGUGUGUCAACACCUUACUGAUCCGGGAAAGCAGCUGUAGAAGCCACACCUGGCUGGAGUGACUUGAGGACACAAGAGUUCUGGAUGUGAGGAGGUGGAUACUGUGAGCCAGACAGCUGGGGUGCCAGGAGAGAGGUCAGCGUGGAGGCUGAUGCUGGUGAGAAUGACAGAGGGAGCAGCCUUUAAUAAAUAUUGAUGAAGAACUGAUAAAUGAACGAAUUAAUGAGCCAAAUGUUAUUCCCAUGUGUGCUGUUGUCUGCCCCGCAGGAUGCAGCACGCAUCAUAAUAAUGAGCUGCACACAGAGGGAUGGGAAAUGGCGCCAACACACCAAUCUGCUCCCAUCUCUGAGCUACA